rnacentral:rRNA from 1 species
UACGGGGGGUGCAAGCGUUGUUCGGAAUUACUGGGCGUAAAGGGCUCGUAGGCGGCCUACUAAGUCAGACGUGAAAUCCCUCGGCUUAACCGGGGAACUGCGUCUGAUACUGGAUGGCUUGAGUUUGGGAGAGGGAUGCGGAAUUCCAGGUGUAGCGGUGAAAUGCGUAGAUAUCGGGAGGAACACCAGUGGCGAAGGCGGCGACCUGGGCCAAUACUGACGCUGAGGUGCGAAAGCGUGGGGAGCAAACAGG